rnacentral:rRNA from 1 species
CCUACGGGAGGCAGCAGUGGGGAAUAUUGGACAAUGGGGGGAACCCUGAUCCAGCGACGCCGCGUGAGUGAAGAAGUAUUUCGGUAUGUAAAGCUCUAUUAGCAGGGAAGAAAGAAAUGACGGUACCUGACUAAGAAGCCCCGGCUAACUACGUGCCAGCAGCCGCGGUAAUACGUAGGGGGCAAGCGUUAUCCGGAUUUACUGGGUGUAAAGGGAGCGUAGACGGCGAUGCAAGUCUGGAGUGAAAGGCCGGGGCCCAACCCCGGGACUGCUCUGGAAACUGCCUGGCUGGAGUACAGGAGAGGUAAGUGGAAUUCCUGGUGUAGCGGUGAAAUGCGUAGAUAUUAGGAGGAACACCGGUGGCGAAGGCGGCUUACUGGACUGUAACUGACGUUGAGGCUCGAAAGCGUGGGGAGCAAACAGGAUUAGAUACCCUAGUAGUC